UAUUCUAUGUGGGUUAGAAAUAUUUAAGAUAAGUCUCAAUAUGGACGAAUCCUCACAUCUCCCACUCAUACACACUUGGUACUUAUUCUAAUUUUUCAUCCCAAAUAUAUUCUCUUAUCUCAUUGUACUCUUCAUAUGGAAAAUUUGUUUGAAUACGAGUUAAAAGGUGAAGUGCGAAGUUGACGUCACAUGCUUUUGUGGGAUAUCGAAUGGCUAGGUAAAGAGUAAAAGAAAA
rnacentral:lncRNA from 1 species